AAAGGGAAGGAUCACUGAAGAUAGGAAGAAUGGAUUAUGGGCAAGUUCCUCUGAAUCAAAAUCGCCCAUUGGAUACUAUGAAUUUAUUUGCUUUAAUUAGCCUCCCCAAAGAAAAAUCACCCUCUGCCAAUGCAAGGGGCACAUUUGAUCAAGCAGACUCUUCCAUUCUCUCACGACCAUCUUUCAUUAACUUGAAGACCUGACCACCCCAACCUAUUAUUCUCUGUUCUUCUCCAAUUUUCCAAGUUAUUUGGCUACUCUGCUCUGAGCCUUUUGGAUAAUGUUUCAUGGUUGUUCUUGUAUAACGUGGUUGCGUGGUGUCAGUUGUGAAAACCUCCAAAACGUGGCAGCCAUCUUGGAAGCUAUCACUAUAUGGCCAAAAAGAUGGAGCUGAUAUCUGUGACUCAAUGUGCUUCUGAAUAAACUAAUGAUGCAUUUA